UACAAGAGAAAACAAAAAGAAAAAAGAACACCUGACAAACACAUAUCUUUAGUGAACAAGUGAUGACAAGAAUCAUUCAUAAAAAAUGAUCUAACAUGAAGUGUUUCAUGUGCAAUAAAUAAAUGGCUGAGAUUGAAUGUAUUGCCACAAAAAUUGCCAUGAGCACAUGCUUUCGGUUAUGAUGCCCUACAUCUUGCAAUCUCAAGGUCUUAAGAGUUUGGGACCAUGCCCUUAAAAAGCCUGCUGCGAUGGAAGGUCCUGUCUUAGUCUCACAUGUCGUUGCAACUUCACAAAAUUCAUCCUUCUAAUUCAAGGCAUGAAAUGGAAGAUAUAGUUUAGAAAUUAAAAUAGAAUAUCAUCGUCAACAAGGAAAUGGGAGAAUAUAUUGAUCAAUGAUCAAUCAUAGAACCACUGAAACUACAUUUGGGAUUCAGGUGCUUUGUCGAAUGCAAUGACUACCCAUGAAGUGAGGAUGGUUGAUAGACAUAAGCCAUCAAGUAAAAAGUGCUUGUUCAGCAAACAAGAUGCAAAAACACAGCAGUUACAAACAUAACAUGAACCCAACAUCAAAAUCAAAUUGUCCAAAACACACAGCUAAAAAUAAUAUAUGGUAUAUAUGUAUACAUAAGUUCCCAGUGUAUUUCAUAUCCAAUCACAACCAUUUUGUUGUAAUUUCAAUGCAUUCAACAGAAAUUAAACUGAAAAAUGCAAAUCAUCAAAUAAUAAAAAACCACAUGUUCCUAGUGUAUUAUUUAUACAAUAAACCUGUAAAGCUUAUGAAAGUACCUUGAAAAGAUAAACUUGUGAUCGUAAAGACAUAAUGAGAAUCAAUAUUAUAAUCAUCAUUGCGAUCACUUUCUUAAAAAACUCAGGAUAUGCAAACCCCUAGUUGUAAAAAAAAAGAUUAAUUCAAAUGAGUAUCUGCCAUUUAAAUUAAUCAAGCCUAUUUGAUAGAAGUCAUUCUUGCUCUCCCCAGCCAACUCCAUUUCAAUUUUCAGUUAUUUAUUUGCCAUUGCAUUAUUUUUUAGAAUCAUCAUCCCUCAUUCAUUCAAAUUCUUUGCAACCCAAGUGAAUUAAUGUGCUUAUCUCUUAUUCUCGAUAACAAGACUUUCCAAAUUGUCAUUGCCAAUAUGUUAAUUGCUUCUCAGUAUGAUAUAAUAAAACAAACGAAUUAUAUGAGCUAACAAACAAAUACCAAUUUCUUUAAUGAUGGCUUCACUGAUAUUGCACGCAAAAAAAUUCCAACUAUUCCAACUGCAAGACACAAACAGGAAAGCAAAAACCAAAUCAAACAUAUUAACAUUUUCUCUUGGACAUGUGACAAAAGAUACUCAUGCAUCAACCAAAUUACCUUUCAAAAGGUACACCAAACUCCAGAAUAAUCCAAAAUCCCACUAAUACCAAAAUCCUCAUACCACCAAGGUCCAUGAUAUGCAAGUUUAUCCUUUUGUAGUUAUUAAGUUAAAUCCUUGAAAAUUGGAGCAUGAAAAAAAAAAUGAAAGCCCUUACCCCAUUUGAGGUGUAGAAGCCAAGCAGUUAGUGAGUUAAAGAAUUCCAUAAUUAGAAGUAUAAAAAAUCUCACCAAAAGAUUUGCUGAACCCACGACUGUAACUUGCUUUCUCAAAACUCUGCAAGAAAGACACAACACCAAAUCCCAUAUCCAUAAUAAGACACAGAACCAAAGCAAAAAUGAAAGGUUUCUUCUUCAUUGACAACAUUGCCAUUUCCACUCUUAUUAUUUCUCGUACACUGCUUUUCUUUUCUUAUUCCUUAAAAUGCAUGGACAAGUGAAGCUUGGAAAUAUAAGACUAAUGAAAUCAGAGCACAAGAUAAAUAAUAAUUACUCAAAAUUUACCCAAAUAGAAGAAUAAUACCAGUGAGCCAAUGUCAAUCCUCAACAUAUAUGCUUAGAUCUCGUUAUAGGAGCAACUUGAGAGAGAGAGAG
rnacentral:lncRNA from 1 species